rnacentral:rRNA from 1 species
UACGUAGGGUGCAAGCGUUAAUCGGAAUUACUGGGCGUAAAGCGUGCGCAGGCGGCUUUGCAAGUCAGCUGUGAAAGCCCCGGGCUUAACCUGGGAAUGGCGGUUGAAACUGGCGAACUUGAAUCUGGCAGAGGGGGGUGGAAUUCCACGUGUAGCAGUGAAAUGCGUAGAGAUGUGGAGGAACACCGAUGGCGAAGGCAGCCCCCUGGGCUGAGAUUGACGCUCAGGCACGAAAGCGUGGGGAGCAAACAGG